rnacentral:rRNA from 1 species
CCCUUAGAUGUUCUGGGCCGCACGCGCGCUACAAUGAUGCAGGCAACGAGUGCCGCUCCUUAGCCGAAAGGCUUGGGGAAUCUUGAAAACUGCAUCGUGCUAGGGAUAGAUGAUUGCAAUCGUGCAUCUUGAACGAGGAAUGCCUUGUAAGCGUGAGUCAUCAACUCGCGCUGAAUACGUCCCUGCCCUUUGUACACACCGCCCGUCGCUCCUACCGAUUGGAUGGUCCGGUGAACUGAUCGGACUGCUGUUUGAAAUUGCGGGUGCAGUUGAUUCACGGGAAGUCUAGUAAACCUUAUCAUCUAGAGGAAGGAGAAGUCGUAACA